GUAGAGUCUCAAGAGCUGGAAAAGGAUUUGAACUGCUCAUACUCUCCCCACAAAACUCACAAUCAACCGCUUUUACAUUGGGAAACCCUAUGAUAACCAAGUCCUUGAGAGAAGAAAGCAGCCCAAGUUGAGGCAAGGUUGUGCAGUUGCAAUUAAUAUUUCAACUCUAGGCAUACUAGAUUUCGAAAUAAAGGAUCCCCUACCCACGAAGGAAAUUGAAUACCACCAUAAUCAAUUAUGGUGAGUUUUUCCAAACUUUCAUGAGGUUUCAUCUUCUCAAGUACAACUCUUUCUUCGUUUGCAAUAGAAACCGAUCUACUUGCCAAAUAAGAAGUUCCGCAUGCCAUCUCCAGAUCAUCUAUUCUCCCCUUGUCCAAUAAAAUGGUUCCUCUUACAUUUGAAGCAUUAGCCACAUUAUCCAACCUUGAAAUGCNNNCCCCCGAAGAAACUUUAAAUUCUCCAAAGCUGUUAUACCCACUUCAUUACCUUCCCCCACAACAAAAUCAGACAAUGUCCGAAGACUUCUCAAUUUUUCCAUUCCCUGCGGCAUCACUUUAAGAGCUGUCCAUCGGAUAUCAAGAUGACGUAGGUUGAUCAGAUUUUGCAUUUCUGAUGGCAAUUUCUUUAGAUCAUUACAGCCUUUCAGCAGCAUAGUUUGUAAAUUACAUAGAGAGGUUGUUC
rnacentral:misc_RNA from 1 species